rnacentral:lncRNA from 1 species
GGGCUCAGACAAAUUUUUUUUACAGGAACAAAAACCAAACACUCGUUACUUACAGGGAUCAAUAGACUAUUUUAGCCUUUAUAUUUUUGUGAUUUUUUUUUGCUAUUUCGUGCAUAAAAUAAUGAAUUAAAUGGAAAAUUAGUUUUUUUUUACUAUUUUGGCCAACAUUUUACUUUUUUUUAUCUUUUUUUAAUAAAUAACCAAAAU